CAUGGUGACGUGGAAUCUGAAGGAAGCCGGACGCAAAUUCUCGAACUGACGAACAGAAACUAUAUACAAGGCUGAAUUGGAAUGGACGAGUUUGCUUAACAAAACAAAGUCCAAUACUGUCCGAACUCCAUACAGUAAAUAUAGCAGUUACAUGAGAAGAAGGUAA
rnacentral:ncRNA from 1 species